rnacentral:rRNA from 1 species
ACGGGUGUUGGGAGACAUAGCCCGGAGAUGGAUUCUGAGACACGAAUCCAGACCCUACGGGGUGCAGCAGGCGCGAAAACUUGGCAAUGCGAGCAAUCGUGACCAGGGAACUCCAAGUGGCUGGGGUAAUACCCAGUUUUUUCUUGACUCUUCAAAGGUCUUGGAAUAAGGGGUGGGUAAGGACGGUGCCAGCCGCCGCGGUAAUACCGGCGCCUCAAGUGGUAGUCGCUUUUAUUGGGCCUAAAACGUCCGUAGCCGGUCUGGUGCAUUCGUGGGUAAAUCAACCCGCUCAACGGGUUGAAUUCUGCGAACACGGCCAGACUUGGGACCGGGAGAGGUGUGGGGUACUCUCAGGGUAGGGGUAAAAUCCUGUCAUCCUGAGAGGACCACCUGUUGCGAAGGCGCCACACUAGAACGGAUUCGACGGUCAGGGACGAAACCUAGGGGCACGAACCGGAUUAGAUACCCGGGUAGUCCUAGGUGUAAACGCUGUGGACUUGAUGUUGGGGGUGCUCCGAGCACUCUCAGUGUCGAAGCGAAGGUGAUAAGUCCACUGCCUGGGGAGUACGGUCGCAAGGCUGAAACUUAAAGGAAUUGGCGGGGGAGCACUGCAACCUGAGGAUUGUGCGGUUUAAUUGGACUCAACGCCGGA